rnacentral:rRNA from 1 species
UACGUAGGCAGCAAGCGUUGUUCGGAAUUACUGGGCGUAAAGAGUGUGUAGGCGGUGCUCCAAGUCUGGUGUGAAAUCUCCCGGCUUAACUGGGAGGGUGCAUUAGAAACUGGAAUGCUAGAGGAUGGGAGAGGUAAGCGGAAUUCCUGGUGUAGCGGUGAAAUGCGUAGAUAUCAGGAGGAACACCUGUGGUGUAGGCAGCUUACUGGACCAUUUCUGACGCUGAGACACGAAAGCGUGGGUAGCAAACAGG